UGCAGAGGUGGCAAGCGUUGUUCGGAAUUACUGGGCGUAAAGGGCGCGUAGGCGGCCUUCUCAGUCAGACGUGAAAUCCCCCAGGCUUAACUUGGGAACUGCGUCUGAUACUGGAAGGCUUGAGUGCGGGAGAGGGAUGUGGAAUUCCAGGUGUAGCGGUGAAAUGCGUAGAUAUCUGGAGGAACACCGGUGGCGAAGGCGACAUCCUGGACCAACACUGACGCUGAGGAGCGAAAGCCAGGGGAGCAAACGGG
rnacentral:rRNA from 1 species